GCAUCUGAAAUAUGUAGAAUUGGAAAAAGAAAUAUUAAAAUAAUAGAUUUGUUAUCAUUAAGUACAGAAUAUUAUGGUAAUUAAAACUUUCGAGCGCCUGUAGACUAGCAAGCUAUUGACUUCUCAUGAAUAGGUGUACGAUAGGUUGCUCGGCAACAGGCGUAGAAACCAGUAACUUUAUAGUUCUGAAUUAUUAACCACUUAACCUACAACUACGGGCAGCCUGUAGUACGAUGAUCGGGCAAAAUAUAAUAUAUAAUAUAAUGUAUAAUAAUAGCUUGUUUACGUUUUCGGUUCAAAAUUCUCGAACGUAAAUCGUAGGUUAAGGGUUCAUUAAAGGGUCCUUCAACGUGAGUUUCCGAGUUAUCGGCUUCGUGCUGUCUUACAUGAAGAGAAAGAGCAGAUAUGGGUAUUGAUAUUUUGCGACAACAUUUUGGUUGUACCUGAAUAAAAAAAGGAUUAUAUAUUUAGAUUUUUAUAUUAUAUUAGUAUAGUUAUAUAUGCUGUUGCAGAAAUUGUGGUAUAACCAGAAAUGAGGUAGCAAGAACAAAAUUGCCUUCUCUAGGAUUACAAGUAGACAGACUAACUACUGCACUGUUACUUUCCACAUCCAAUAAUUCAAUUGGAGUAUCUGAUUGUAUCAAAAUGUUAUC